AUUUUUUCUUUUGUAUUUUACUUUUCUUUUUAUUUUUCUUUUUGUUCUAUCUUCUUCUCUAUAAUUUUCUUUUUAUUUUUCUUUACGUUCCAUUUUCUUCUCUGUAGGAGUACCUACAAGAUCCACACUGUUCACCACUUCACUGUUGCCGGCGGAAUUGCCGAUUUUUGUCGCCGAACCUGUGCCACCCAUCUCGCCGGUGUAACGCCGCCAUUCAGUCCUUCUUGCUCGCCGAAAAUCCUACUGGAAUCUUGGCCGCUGUCCUCCAGGCACAAUCCCAGCCUCCUCAUCUUUGUUUCUACCGGAGUUUUCACAGUUUGCCGCCGUCAUCGGAGUGGUCGCUGUCAUCGCUAGGAGUUUCUCUGGUCAUUGCUGGGUAUUUAGCGGCUGUUUGUGUUGCUAUAAUUGGGUAUAUAUAUAUAUAUAUAUAUAUAGUCCCAUAUUUGGCUUGUUUGCCUACGGACACAGCACUAUCCCAAUUCUGGAAUCCGAACAGAACUGAACCAGUUGUGCAGACACUACUAGUUCAUUCAAUAAACUAGUUUGAAAAAUAAAAAAUAAAAAAUAAAAAAAAAUCAGCUUGUUGAUUCGGAUGGUGGGCUAAUUUGGGAGCAUUCAACACUUGGAUGGGAGCAUUCAACACUUGGAUAUUCUUAUUGGAGAACGUGGAAACACAACAAACCAUUGUUUUAUCUUUCAGAAAUUGUACUCCACAUCAAAACCAGUGAGGGGCUGAUUUCAGAAUUAGAAGAAAAGAGACAAAAAUAACAAGUUUAUGAGAUUAUACGAUCAGUCAAAUUCAAAUUUGACUUUCCAUCAAAUCAGCAAAGAUCAAGCCAAAUUGAAAAUAUAUCAAGACAGAUUGGAAAGCACGUCAAGUCAAAGAUAUCAAGCCAAAUUGGAAGGCAGCAAGAUUUUAGGAAGAUUUAUUUUAUUUUAUUUUAUUUUUACUUCUAUAAUUAGAAUUUUUUCCUCCUGAUCAGUUCCAUUCUAAACUCUAUAAAUAGGGACAUAUGUAGAGGAGGAAAGAUGUACAUUGUGAGUGAUAGAAAAUAAUAAAAGUUAGAGAAUUUUUGUGUUCAA